UAAAAAAAAUAUAGAAAAACAUAUAUAUAAAUUCGGUUCUCGAUUCGUUACCGGUUCGGUACGGUUUCAGGUCGGUUUCGACACGGUUCCUAUUCGGUUUUUAGUGAAGAAUUAGAACCAAACAAAAGUAUCAAAAUAAAUUUGGUUCGAUAUGGUUUCUGUCGGUUCGGUUUCCCCAAGAACCAUGCACAGCCCUAGUGACUGCUUACUCUCCUUUGGAGCAAUAGGUGUCAAGUGGGGCUUGGUUAUGGGCAAUGAAGUGCUGAAAGAGAUAUCCAAGAAGAAUGGAAAGACUGUUGCCCAGGUUCUACUAAUUGCAUAUUUUCAAUUGGUAUUUUCUUUGUGCAUUUUUUUUUAUUUUUUUAGUAGAGGAUAAGGAAAUGAGACUCAAAUCUGGAUCUACCAAAUGACUGAUAUGUUUUCAGCUAUUAAAUCAUGUUAAGCUUUUCUUUAUGUAUUUUCACUUAGAUGUAAAUAGCAGUGGAUUACUCAUUAAUCCUAUAUAUAUAUAUGCUACAAAAUUUCUUUAUCUUGCCUAUAAAUAGUAAAUAUUUUGUACCUUUUGAAAACUAGUAAAC
rnacentral:misc_RNA from 1 species